rnacentral:lncRNA from 1 species
GGUAGCAGUCCCCUGUGAGAGUUUAGAGGUUUCAAUCCAUCCUGGUGGGAAGGUGACUGGUGGAGCAGAGCUGUGGACAUUGUAGCAACCAGAAAGCAGAGAAGGGACCCCAGGAGACCCCCCUUUUACUGCAGAAUGGAUUUGAACACUAGCACAGCUUAUAGCUACAUCCAGACGGCAAUGAGUCCCAUCAUCUUUGCUGUGACUCAACCGAAGCACUGAACCCUUGACCUGUUUC